UCGCGGUCCAUAAAGCGAGAUACAUUUUCGGAAGCGUUGGGGACGAGCGCGCUCGCGGGAAGAAUCGACUCGAUGUCCGAUACAGAAGGAGAAGAUCGGUGGUCAAGUUCGGAUUUCUACGGACCACUGAUAGAAAGGGUCGAAAUUCGUCGUUCAGUAUCCAGGUAGCAGCGGCGCGAGGAGCUCGACAUCGGUGCGAGCUCGAAGUUGAAACGGACGAAAAGACUCGGAAUUGAUAAAUUCGGGCAAGGGGAGAAGCAUGGGAGGUGGUGGCACGAGGCCUGAGGCGUGACUCCCUCCCAAGCUGGCGGAGAACGAAAAGGCUUUGAAAUUCCUCGAGAGGAAUGCGGCCAAUAUGGCGGCGAGGAGGUGGCACGCGGUUUCCAAGAUGGCCGCGUGAUUUCCAAGAUGGCCAGCGUAGAAAGCGACGGUUGACGACGCGCGCCGACGAUCCUUGGAGUGACGGAAGGAAGGCCCGAAAUUGAUAACUGCUUAACGGAGGAGCACGGCCGUGAGGAGGUACGCUCAGGCGAGAAGGUUAAUAACUGGGCAAGACUUGUCGUCAAGCCACCAAGAGAUCCUCGAAACCUCAGUGGAUAAAGCUCGGAUGUCAUCACCCAGGGUAACGUCAAAUAGCCAAUCAUCGAGAAGCCAACGUGACUGCCGAUACAGAUCAAUGGAAUCCAGGAUGGAAGAGUUACCUUAUCGACAGUGCAACUCCAACUGCGGAGACGAACAUUCCCAGACCACUGAUACAGGCCAUGGUCUUCCUCCCGAAAUUUCUGGCUAAGGCAGCGCCGAUUAUUGAUGUAAAUAAUCUUACAACACCAA